rnacentral:lncRNA from 1 species
UUUUUCUUACUAAUACAUGAAGAGGUGAAUAGUAGAAGAAUAAUAGUUGUGUUUUUCAUGUAUCGAGUGAAAGAGAUGAUAUUAAAGGAUUUUGUUUUAUUGUUUUUCUCCUUGCCAUGUGUUAGCGAGUGAUUAGUGGAUUUCCUUUUUUUGAAAUAUUUGACCAGCAACAGUGGUGGGGUGCCUCCCCUUUUGUAUCAGUAUAGCCUUUAUUUUAUUUUUAUUUUCCUAUUUAUAUUGUUUGUAUUAUUAUCAUUAAAUUAGGGUUUAGUGUUUUCACCUGGGUUUGGGCCCAAAAGCCAAACGUUUUGUAUAUGUACCCCCUUUGUUGAUUUCUA